rnacentral:rRNA from 1 species
GGAGUUUGGACCGUGUCUCAGUUCCAAUGUGGGGGACCUUCCUCUCAGAACCCCUACUGAUCGUUGACUAGGUGGGCCGUUACCCCGCCUACUAUCUAAUCAGACGCAUCCCCAUCCCUUACCGAUGAAUCUUUGCUCCUCAUUAGAUGCCUGCUAAGGAGAACAUAGAGUAUUAAUCCGACUUUCGCCGGGCUA